GAAUUAUAUUUAGAUUAGUGUAUUUAGAUUAUCGUUUAUUUGUUUUUAAUUAGGUAAAAUAAUUUAGUAAAUGAAGGUUUGAAGUUUUUGUUUUGUACGGUUAAGUUUUAUAUUUUAUAUUUGGUAAGAUUUUGGGUGGAAUUUGUGAAAAGUGGUUGGAGAAAUUUUUUGGAAUUAGGAGAGGUUUUUUGGAGGGAAGUAUGUUUUUUGUUUU
rnacentral:misc_RNA from 1 species